rnacentral:rRNA from 1 species
UUUGCAGCGACGUAGAUAGAAUCUUCCACAAUGGACGCAAGUCUGAUGGAGCAACGCCGCGUGAGUGAAGAAGGGUUUCGGCUCGUACAGCUCUGUUGUUAAAGAAGAACGUGGGUGAGAGUAACUGUUCACCCAGUGACGGUAUUUAACCAGAAAGCCACGGCUAACUACGUGCCAGCAGCCGCGGUAAUACGUAGGUGGCAAGCGUUAUCCGGAUUUAUUGGGCGUAAAGCGAGCGCAGGCGGUCUUUUAAGUCUAAUGUGAAAGCCUUCGGCUCAACCGAAGAAGUGCAUUGGAAACUGGGAGACUUGAGUGCAGAAGAGGACAGUGGAACUCCAUGUGUAGCGGUGAAAUGCGUAGAUAUAUGGAAGAACACCAGUGGCGAAGGCGGCUGUCUGGUCUGUAACUGACGCUGAGGCUCGAAAGCAUGGGUAGCGAACAGGAUUAGAUACCCUGGUAGUCCAUGCCGUAAACGAUGAUUACUAAGUGUUGGAGGGUUUCCGCCCUUCAGUGCUGCAGCUAACGCAUUAAGUAAUCCGCCUGGGGAGUACGACCGCAAGGUUGAAACUCAAAAGAAUUGACGGGGGCCCGCACAAGCGGUGGAGCAUGUGGUUUAAUUCGAAGCUACGCGAAGAACCUUACCAGGUCUUGACAUCUUCUGCCAACCUAAGAGAUUAGGCGUUCCCUUCGGGGACAGAAUGACAGGUGGUGCAUGGUGUCGUCAGCUCGUUAAUU